UACACAUGCAGUCGACGGUAGCACAGAGGAGCUUGCUCCUUGGGUGACGAGUGGCGGACGGGUGAGUAAUGUCUGGAAACUGCCCGAUGGAGGGGGAUAACUACUGGAAACGGUAGCUAAUACCGCAUAACGUCGCAAGACCAAAGAGGGGGACCUUCGGGCCUCUUGCCAUCGGAUGUGCCCAGAUGGGACUAGCUAGUAGGUGGGGUAACGGCUCACCUAGGCGACGAUCCCUAGCUGGUCUGAGAGGAUGACCAGCCACACUGGAACUGAGACACGGUCCAGACUCCUACGGGAGGCAGCAGUGGGGAAUAUUGCACAAUGGGCGCAAGCCUGAUGCAGCCAUGCCGCGUGUAUGAAGAAGGCCUUCGGGUUGUAAAGUACUUUCAGCGAGGAGGAAGGUGUUGUGGUUAAUAACCGCAGCAAUUGACGUUACUCGCAGAAGAAGCACCGGCUAACUCCGUGCCAGCAGCCGCGGUAAUACGGAGGGUGCAAGCGUUAAUCGGAAUUACUGGGCGUAAAGCGCACGCAGGCGGUCUGUCAAGUCGGAUGUGAAAUCCCCGGGCUCAACCUGGGAACUGCAUCCGAAACUGGCAGGCUAGAGUCUUGUAGAGGGGGGUAGAAUUCCAGGUGUAGCGGUGAAAUGCGUAGAGAUCUGGAGGAAUACCGAUGGCGAAAGCGGCCCCCUGGACAAAGACUGACGCUCACGUGCGAAAGCGUGGGGGGCAAACAGGAUUAGAUACCCUGGUAGUCCACGCCGUAACGAUGUCGACUUGGAGUUGUGCCCUUGAGCGUGCUUCCGGAGCUAACGCGUUAAGUCGACCGCUGGGAGUACGCGCAGUAAACUCAAUGAAUUGACGGGG
rnacentral:rRNA from 1 species